rnacentral:misc_RNA from 1 species
AACCUUAUGGACCUGCGGGCGUAUACCUGCGGAGGGAUCAUUACAGAGUUGCAAAACUCCCUAAACCAUUGUGAACGUUACCUAAACCGUUGCUUCGGCGGGCGGCCCGGGUCCUUCCCGGCGCCCCUCGGCCCUCGCGGGCGCCCGCCGGAGGUAAACCAAACUAUUGCAUUGUAUGGCCUCUCUGAGUCUUCUGUACUGAAUAAGUCAAAACUUUUAACAAUGGAUCUCAGAUCGGAA